rnacentral:lncRNA from 1 species
CCUGCCAUACAAAUGAAAAGGCUAUCGUAAGUAGCUCAAUAUAGCUGAUAAAUCUGGCAGUGACAUGCAAGUGCAGCUGCUCAACAUAUCUAGCAUUGUCUAGAUCCAACCGUGAUGGGCUUCUAUCAUAUACUACAAACAAACAUUCAGUUUUAUGCUACAUUUGAUUACAUAAUCGGAUAAAAAGAUCUAACGACAUAGAAUUCCAGUAUUCCUUACCCAUCAGCCCGGCCACACUGCCCAGGGCGGGAAGCAAUGCAAGCCAAAAGCCUUCCACUGCCAAAUUGCUCCUCGAUGUGUGGGUCAAGUGCGCGUCCGUCCUUACGCUUCUCAAGCUUCCUCUGGACAUGGUUGCUCUUCUUGGUUUCCUCAGCUGCAGCCUCACCCUCUUGUCCCUGCAUUAAUGCGCCUCAAAUAAUAAAUGACCCAUUUGAUGGAACCAGCACAGAUUUUAUAGAGUGAAGGAAAAAGAAUUUCUAAAACUUUAACUUAGUUUUCUGGAAAAGAUCACUCGAAAACAAAAUAUAUUCAUUGAAAAUAUCAAAUUCAGUAUUUUUCAUAUAGAAAUCUAAAACUAGUGGAGAAACAAGCCAUAUGAGAAACAAGUUUAUCAAAAUCUUUAAGACAUAGAUGAAGUGACCUUGGGAGGCACAUGAUUAGAUGAGAAACAAGUUUAUCAAAAUUUGUAAGACAUAGAUGAAGUGACCAUUAGGAGGCACAUGAAUUAGAUUCAGAUCUCUCAAAACAGAGCAGGAUGAGCUGCUAUUUGUCAUCCACAAAAUAUGUAGUCAAACUAACAGAAGACAAGGUGAGUAAUAAAAUCUCAAGUUGCAUGAAACAUACCUCAGCACCAUCCUUCUUGGCAGCAGGUGCCUUCUUCUUCCUACCGAUGUCCACUCCAUAGUGUGUCAGGUACCACUGCUUGAAUGGGGCAGCAUCAACUUGCACAAUGGCGCUCUUCACGAGGGUCUGAGUCCUCACGAGCUCAUUGUUUGAAGCAUUGUAGACCACAUCAAGGAUACGGGUCUUGCGGGUAACAGCCUCACUUCCCCAUGAGUAGUUACCAGUAUCCAGGCGGAGAGCCCUCCACUUCACAUUACCUCCACGGACACGAACCCUCCUCACCGUCUUGUUGCUUGACAACUUGGUGUUAGCUGGCUGGC